rnacentral:rRNA from 1 species
AACGAACGCUGGCGGCGUGCCUAACACAUGCAAGUCGAGCGGGAAAGUUCCCUUCGGGGAGCGAGUACAGCGGCGAACGGGUGAGUAACACGUAGGUAACCUACCCUGGAGAUCGGGAUAACCUGCCGAAAGGCGGGCUAAUACCGGAUAAGACCACGAGGGCUGCGGCCCUUGAGGAAAAGAUGGCCUCUGCUUGCAAGCUAUCACUCUGGGAUGGGCCUGCGCGCCAUUAGCAGUUGGUGAGGUAACGGCUCACCAAGGCUGAGAUGGCUAGCUGGUCUGAGAGGAUGGCCAGCCACACUGGGACUGAGACACGGCCCAGACUCCUACGGGAGGCAGCAGUGGGGAAUAUUGGACAAUGGGCGCAAGCCUGAUCCAGCGAUGCCGCGUGUGUGAAGAAGGCCUGCGGGUUGUAAAGC